rnacentral:rRNA from 1 species
AACGAACGCUGGCGGCACGCCUAACACAUGCAAGUCGAACGAAGCAUAGGAGCUUGCUCCUAUGACUGAGUGGCGCACGGGUGAGUAACACGUGGGAAUCUGCCUAUUGGUGGGGAAUAACUUUUGGAAACGAAAGCUAAUACCGCAUAAGCCCUGAGGGGGAAAGAUUUAUCGCCAGUAGAUGAGCCCGCGCUAGAUUAGCUAGUUGGUGAGGUAAGAGCUCACCAAGGCUACGAUCUAUAGCUGGUCUGAGAGGAUGGUCAGCCACACUGGGACUGAGACACGGCCCAGACUCCUACGGGAGGCAGCAGUGGGGAAUAUUGGACAAUGGGGGAAACCCUGAUCCAGCGAUGCCGCGUGAGUGAAGAAGGCCUUCGGGUUGUAAAGCUCUUUCAGAGGGGAUGAUGAUGACGGUACCCUCAGAAGAAGCACCGGCUAACUUCGUGCCAGCAGCCGCCGUAA